rnacentral:lncRNA from 1 species
UCUUCAGAUUAGAUGACCAAUGAUUACAACUCUUAGAAAUGAGUGGAUUGGAAAAGGGGAUUGAAUUACUCCUUCUGUGAAGACUAGGGAAGUAGAUGUAAAGGAAGUUUGGGAGCUGGUAAUCAACAUGGAAACAUGUAUCAAGCCAUCAAAUAUUCCACAGACUGGUCUCCUAUCUUUCAUUCUAUUUUAAUUCUGGAUAAACUAUGAAGAGGGUUCUCCCUACUCACUUCCUCCAAUUCCCAAAGUUUUUAGAACAACAGGUCAGCGUGUUCCAUUAGAGCAUAAAAUAUCACCAUUUUCAUGCUACCAUGAAGCUCUGCAUUGGAACAAACUGGAAUAAUUCAGCUGUAGUUGAUUGAAUCCACGGAUGCAGAACACAUGGAUUUGGAGGGCCAACUGUAGUGUUUUGGAUGAUGAUCAGAGUUGCGGAGAAAAAGAAGAAUGAGAAGAAGGAGAGUUUCAGGGAUAUUGAAAAUUUAAAUUAGAUAUCCCUCAAGAUUCCCGGUCCCUGUACAAAAACAGAUUCUUCCACUUACUCAACCAAACACUGAUCUAGGUACAGAUGGAAAGCUAUGUUGCUGCUGUAACUAAGAAUCUUAAUCAGUUUACUUUAAAAUAGAGAGCUAUCCAGUGGACCUGACCUUAUAACCUGAGCCCUCUAAAAGGAGGAUAGUAUUUUUGGCCGUUUUCAGAAAAGGAAGUCAAAGCUUUAAAGAGAUGGAUUCAACGUACAAAAAUUUCUCUAUUGUUGGCUCUCAAGAAGGAGGGAGCUGCAUGAUAAGGAACACAGAACAUCUUUGGGAGCUGAGAGAAGCCCUUAGCUAAAAGCCAGCCAGGGAAGGGGCUCUCAAUCCUGUGACUGCAAGGAACUAAAUUCUACCACAACCACGUGAACCUGAAAGAGGACCCUGAGUUACACAAGAAAAUGUUGACUGACAAGUUGACUUCAGCUUGUGAGAAUAAGUAGAAAACCUAGGCACAACACGCCUGGACUUCUGACCUAUAGAACUAUGAGCUAAUAAAUGGGUAUUGUUUUAAGCCACUAAGUUUGUGAUAAUUUGUUACACAGCAAUAGAAGACCAAUACAAACCUCCCCCUACAAAAUGAGCAAUCACUACUUACCCAGCCUCUGCUUACAUACAUAGAGCAAGGGAAACUCAACAUCUCAAGGGUAGUUUAUUUUAAAAUUCAUUUUCAGAUAGCUCUAUUAGUUUGUAUAGCCUGCAUUAUUUUGAACUGAUAUUUACUUUCCUAUAAAUCUCAGCUCUGCACUGAAAACCCACUCCAAAGAGGCCUAAUCUACUUUCA